rnacentral:rRNA from 1 species
GACACGGUCCAGACUCCUACGGGAGGCAGCAGUGGGGAAUAUUGGACAAUGGGCGAAAGCCUGAUCCAGCCAUGCCGCGUGUGUGAAGAAGGUCUUCGGAUUGUAAAGCACUUUAAGUUGGGAGGAAGGGCAGUAAGUUAAUACCUUGCUGUUUUGACGUUACCAACAGAAUAAGCACCGGCUAACUUCGUGCCAGCAGCCGCGGUAAUACGUAGGGUGCGAGCGUUAAUCGGAAUUACUGGGCGUAAAGCGGGCGCAGACGGUUACUUAAGCAGGAUGUGAAAUCCCCGGGCUCAACCCGGGAACUGCGUUCUGAACUGGGUGACUCGAGUGUGUCAGAGGGAGGUAGAAUUCCACGUGUAGCAGUGAAAUGCGUAGAGAUGUGGAGGAAUACCGAUGGCGAAGGCAGCCUCCUGGGACAACACUGACGUUCAUGCCCGAAAGCGUGGGUAGCAAACAGGAUUAGAUACCCUGGUAGUCCACGCCCUAAACGAUGUCAAUUAGCUGUUGGGCAACCUGAUUGCUUGGUAGCGUAGCUAACGCGUGAAAUUGACCGCCUGGGGAGUACGGUCGCAAGAUUAAAACUCAAAGGAAUUGACGGGGACCCGCACAAGCGGUGGAUGAUGUGGAUUAAUUCGAUGCAACGCGAAGAACCUUACCUGGUCUUGACAUGUACGGAAUCCUCCGGAGACGGAGGAGUGCCUUCGGGAGCCGUAACACAGGUGCUGCAUGGCUGUCGUCAGCUCGUGUCGUGAGAUGUUGGGUUAAGUCCCGCAACGAGCGCAACCCUUGUCAUUAGUUGCCAUCAUUCAGUUGGGCACUCUAAUGAGACUGCCGGUGACAAGCCGGAGGAAGGUGGGGAUGACGUCAAGUCCUCAUGGCCCUUAUGACCAGGGCUUCACACGUCAUACAAUGGUCGGUACAGAGGGUAGCCAAGCCGCGAGGCGGAGCCAAUCUCACAAAACCGAUCGUAGUCCGGAUUGCACUCUGCAACUCGAGUGCAUGAAGUCGGAAUCGCUAGUAAUCGCAGGUCAGCAUACUGCGGUGAAUACGUUCCCGGGUCUUGUACACACCGCCCGUCACACCAUGGGAGUGGGGGAUACCAGAAGUAGGUAGGAUAACCACAAGGAGUCCGCUUACCACGGUAUGCUUCAUGACUGGGGUGAAGUCGUAACAAGGUAGCCGUAGGGGAACCUGCGGCUG